UAGCUCACCUGCUAGAGCAUGGCAUUAACACUGCCAGGGUUAGGGGUUCGAUUCCCACUGGGGGCCA